rnacentral:rRNA from 2 species
UUGGAGAUUUAUAUAAAAGGUUGGGCCUGCCCGGUGAUCUGAAAUGGUUUAACGGCUGCGAUUGAAACCGUACUAAGGUAGCAUAAUAAUUUGCCCUUUAAUUGGGGGAGAGAAUGAAUGGUUUGACGGUAAAAAAGCUGUUUUAAAAAUAAAAAAAGAAGUUAACUUUUAAGUGAAAAGGCUUAAGUUUUUAUAAAAGACGAGAAGACCCCGUCGAGCUUAAUUAGAAUAACUUAAAUGUAGGUUAUUUAAAAUUUUAUUGGGGCAAUAGAAAAUGAAAUGAAUCAUUUUUUUUAUUAUAAGGAUCCAGUUUUGACUGAAAAAAGCAAAAGCUACCGCGGGGAUAACAGGGUAAUUUUUUCUGAGAGUUCAUAUUUAAGAAGAAGUUUGCUACCUCGAUGUUGGAUUAGAAUUUCUUUAUGCUUGCAACAGGUAUAAUAGU